CUCCACCUCCCCGAGCCCAAAUGGCCAUGCAGGUCGAACACCAGCUCUGAAGUGGGCAGGGCCCCCAGGGAGGACAGCCACGGGAGCUCAGGCAGCGUCCCCGCCGGCACCUGCCUCUUUGUGCAGCGGCAGUCAGGGCCCUCGGCAAUGAGCUGAACUCGCAGUGCGGUUACGAGGGCAAAUAUGCUCCUUGAGGGCCGGCGAAACUCAGCAGCCCGAGGAAGGCUACUGAUGUGCAUUUCAUAGCCGGCUGCGAAUUUAGGAAAACAGACUUUGCUUCUCGUCACUCAGCCUACGUGACCAGGUUCAGACACAGUCUGCAGCCGCCCGCCUCGCACCCCCACUCUGCAGUGCGGUAUGUGGGGAGCUCAGGGCACAGCAGGCCAGGCCUCCCCGUGGACGUCCAGGAACCAGGAACCAAACUGCCCAGGGCCCCAGAGGGGAAGAUGUCUCAGCAGACGGACAGCCGAGGCUCACAUGGCAAGCUCUGGCAGCCUGUCGGUCCCAGGAGAGAGGGGGAGGAUGGCAGACGGGAAAAGAAGCCACCUGCUGGGAUGCUGAGACUCGCUUGCAGGAGCUUUUGGAACUGGCUGAGGUCACAGCUGGAACCACUGUGGCCAGCUGGAGUCUGCACAGCCCGAGUUUCCACCCCAGGGUCCCAGUAACUCCGCCCAAAUGUGCACACGAGACCUAUGAGGAGACAUAACUUUCCAGAACCCCCUUUUCUUCCACCAGCCACUUACUCAUCCAAGAACCCACCCCCGAACCUUCCCUAAUAGAAACACUGCAUUAAAGCCAGCGCGGGGAGACAGACGUGAACUGCGCCCCUGUCUCCUUGUGGGUUGGCCUAGAAUAAAAGCUUUUCUUUUCUCAAAAAC
rnacentral:lncRNA from 1 species